GACGAACGCUGGCGGCGUGCCUAAUACAUGCAAGUAGAACGCAGUUGCGAACGGGUGAGUAACGCGUAGGUAACUGCCUCAUAGCGGGGGAUAACUAUUGGAAACGAUAGCUAAUACCGCAUACUGUGAGAUGGACCUGCGUUGCAUUAGCUAGGUGGUGAGGUAAAGUGGCACCAAGGCGACGAUACAUAGCCGACCUGUGAGGGUGAUCGGGCACACUGUGACUGAGACGCGGCCCAGACUCCCACGGGAGGCAGCAGUAGGGAAUCUUCUGCAAUGGACGGAAGUCUGACCGAGCAACGGCGCGUGAGUGAAGAAGGUUUUGGGAUCGUAAGGCUCUGUUGUUAGAGAAGCGGUAACGAACCAGAAAGGGACGGCUAACUACGUGCCAGAGCCGCGGUAAUUC
rnacentral:rRNA from 1 species